CUGGGUUUUAGCUGGCUCCUUGAAGAACGGAGUUGGCUUCAAAACACUUAACAGGUUUGCUGAAAUCUUUGAAAUUUGACAGUAGGCACUUGGCAAAAGAGAGUCUCUCUUACUUGUGGUUUUCGUGCAAGAUCAGAGACAGGAGCUACAGCAGACAAGAAGCAAAACAUAAUAAUCCUGCAAAGGAAAAUCCUCUACUGGGCCAGCACGGUAGAAUCAUUUAUAAAAGAAUGGAGGAGCUUGAAUUCUUAGAUGCUGAUGAGAGAUGGAAGACACAGAUGAGAGAAGUGAGCCCUAAUGGAACAAGGCUGUGGAGAAGGAAGGCGUGAAGGGAUGGAAGGUGCAGGUUCAUCGAACGGGAAGAGAUGUACUAUUUCUCUGCCUCUGAUGGGAAGGAAGUGAAAUAAACAUGGAUACAGCUAGGUUUGUGGUGA